CGGCUAAUCCUCCCUAGUGUCGCGGGCAGCUGGGAUAGGCUCCACCACAUCUUCGGGCAAGAGGCGGGGGUACACCCUGAAAUAGUCUGCAGCCAAUUGCAGGGCACAUAGAAACAAACAACCAUUCGCACUCACGUUCACACCUACAGGCAAUUUAGAGUUUUCAAUUAACCUACCACGCAUGUUUUUGGGAUGUGGGAGGAAACCGGAGUACCCGGAGAAAACCCAUGCAGGCACGGGGAGAACAUGCAAACUCCGCACAGGCGGGGCCAGGAUUUGAACCCCAGUCCUCAGAACUGUGAGGCAGAUGUGCCAACCAGUCAUUCACCGUGCCGCCUUACAUGCAGGUAUGUAAUGUAAUUUAACUCAUUCCCUGCCAACCUCAUCUAAAGACUUAAUUGGCCUUUUUUAACUGGGAUGGGUGGGGGAGGGUCUUGCGCAGUUUGUGUGAUCAUCAAGCCUCUGGAUAACUGCAAUGAGAAAUGCUACCCUGUAGAGGGCAACAAUGCCUUGAGGUUAAUAUCCCUCCCUCAGAGAAAGAAGAGGAAGAAGAAGGAGGAGGCGGGGUUCAAGAGACAAUGAGAGAAGGCACGCAUAAUGGCGGAAAAGAGAUAUUUGAGUAAAUGGGAUCCGGAUUUGUCAGAUGAGUGAACUGUGUCUGGAUCGCCAGCCGAGCUUCAUCGCGAGAUCCUUCAGAUGCUAAUGGUGACGAAGGAAUUCAACACCCGCGAGUCGGUCUUUUAGGGUUGCGAUGAAGUUAUGCAUUGAGCAGCUGUUCAACUCCCAUUCCAGUACACAGUGCAGACAAAAAAAGUACACAGGUUGUGCUUUGAGCAGAAGUAGGAACUGCUUUCAAGGACAAUGACAACCACAAAAGAUCCCAUGCACUGCCACCAAAGAAUAAAAUCCAGAUGUGGAUAAAACUUUGCUAGAUUUGAUGCGCAAGGCAAUAAAAACCUGGACUAUUAAGCAAACGGUAGAGGAGGAGAAUUUGGAGGAAAAAAGUGGGAGCCCUAUUUGUUCAUGCAUUUUUGUCUAAUGUAAAUUCUGUACAUAGUUAUACUUGUAAAUAAAUUAUUUUUCUGUCAAAAGUACAUUCUCAGUGUUGUUUUAUGUUCAGAAGUUUGAGAUUUUCACAAAAGAAAAAAAAUAUAUUCGUGUCAGUCAUUGUUCUGCUUGAGCUGUCUGCUUUCACACAAAGGCGGUUUUCUCAAUUCUUUCCUCCAGAAACAUAUUUGGCUGAAAGUAGCCUAUAUCUGACUGCUGAUCACUAAGGAACGGUAUAAACUAGAGGCAAACUGUUUUUCUGAUGAAAGAAGAGAGUCUGAUCUUUCUUUUGGUGGUUUUGGUGUUUACGUCGUCAUAGUACACAAUAUUCUGUGGGGCUUGAAAAAUGAGUAUAAUUGCUCGAAAAUGCCUGGCAGUCUGGGCUUUCCUUGCUCAGGAAACGGUUGGCAGUGAAUGAGUUAAGAAUAAAGGAAUGCCUUUUUAUUGUCACUAUACACAAGUGCAAAGAGAUUGAGAUACCGGAACCAAUGUAUCACACAGACAUUUAUUGCAGACAGACGCAGUAUUGGGCCACUGAUAAAGUUUUCCUAAAAAUGACAGAGGAGCGGCUGUUUUUAAAACUUUAGAUGUGUAAUGUACAUAUAACA